rnacentral:rRNA from 1 species
AGUGAACGCUGGCGGUAGGCCUAACACAUGCAAGUCGAACGGCAGCACAGUAAGAGCUUGCUCUUACGGGUGGCGAGUGGCGGACGGGUGAGGAAUACAUCGGAAUCUACUUUUUCGUGGGGGGUAACGUAGGGAAACUUACGCUAAUACCGCAUACGACCUACGGGUGAAAGCAGGGGAUCUUCGGACCUUUCGCGAUUGAAUGAGCCGAUGUGGGAUUAGCUAGUUGGCGGGGUAAAGGCCCACCAAGGCGACGAUCCGUAGCUGGUCUGAGAGGAUGAUCGGCCACACUGGAACUGAGACACGGUCCAGACUCCUAAGGGAGGCAGCAGUAGGGAAUAUUGGACAAAGGGCGAAAGCCUGAUCCAGCCAUACCGCGUGGGUGAAGAAGGCCUUCGGGUUGUAAAGCCCUUUUGUUGGGAAAGAAAAGCAGCAGGUUAAUACCCCGCUGUUCUGACGGUACCCAAAGAAUAAGCACCGGCUAACUUCGUG